UUCCGGGCGGGCCCGGAUCCGCCGCCGCCCGCUGGCCCCGGGCGUCCAGCACCGGGGGCCUGGCUCGGCUAGGGGUCCUUUGCCUUGUGCACCGCUUAGCUGGGCUGAAGCAGCUUUCGUGGGCCGGCCGAGCUGCUGACCCUGGACCCCGCGCACACACCCCAGCGGGAGUCAGGGACAGCCUGUGUCCACAGGGCGGUGUAGCCUAGUGGACUGGUGUUGAGGAGGAGGAGAUGAACCUGGCUUGGAGGUCUCAGGCUGAGGAGGGGUCGGGCGGCCCCGGAUGCCUGGAAUGUGCAGAAGAGCAAGUGAUGGCCCCCGGACGGGAUUUGGGCAAAUUAAGCUGCAAAGAAGCCAGUGUCUGCAGAGGCACUACAAUUAAGAUCACUCAACUCCUUAGAGGCCAAACUUGAAGAUCCUACGUGGUUGCUGUUGCCUUCGUCUUAUCCCUGAUGACCUCUCUUCAACUCUGCCAGCUAAGCUCUCUGUGGUGUCCUGGCCCCAUUCCUUCUCUGCUGUUGGGUAACCUGAGAAGACUCCGGAUCCUGGAGCUGUUGCCAGGGGAAUCCUAGAGUGUGCACUUGCUCUCCACUUUGCUCUCCAACCGAAGACACUUGGAUUUAUGUUCAGGAAUUUUUCCUCCCUGAUCUUUGUGUACAGUUUGAGACUGGUGAAAAUCACCACAUUUCCACAGCUACUCGCCAGUGGAAAG